rnacentral:rRNA from 1 species
GAUGAACGCUGGCGGCGUGCCUAAUACAUGCAAGUCGAGCGAACAGACGAGGAGCUUGCUCCUCUGACGUUAGCGGCGGACGGGUGAGUAACACGUGGAUAACCUACCUAUAAGACUGGGAUAACUUCGGGAAACCGGCGCUAAUACCGGAUAACAUGUUGAACCGCAUGGUUCAACAGUGAAAGACGGUCUUGCUGUCACUUAUAGAUGGAUCCGCGCCGCAUUAGCUAGUUGGUAAGGUAACGGCUUACCAAGGCAACGAUGCGUAGCCGACCUGAGAGGGGGAUCGGCCACACUGGAACUGAGACACGGUCCAGACUCCUACGGGAGGCAGCAGUAGGGAAUCUGACGCAAUGGGCGAAAGCCUGACGGAGCAACGCCGCGUGAGUGAAGAAGGUCUUCGGAUCGUAAAACUCUGUUAUUAGGGAAGAACAAAUGUGUAAGUAACUAUGCACGUCUUGACGGUACCUAAUCAGAAAGCCACGGCUAACUACGUG